rnacentral:rRNA from 1 species
AUACGUAGGGUGCGAGCGUUGUCCGGAAUUACUGGGCGUAAAGAGCUCGUAGGUGGUUCGUCGCGUCGUCUGUGAAAUUCCGGGGCUUAACUCCGGGCGUGCAGGCGAUACGGGCAUAACUUGAGUACUGUAGGGGAGACUGGAAUUCCUGGUGUAGCGGUGAAAUGCGCAGAUAUCAGGAGGAACACCGGUGGCGAAGGCGGGUCCCUGGGCGAUAACUGACGCUGAGGAGCGGAAGCAUGGGUAGCGAACAGGAUUAGAUACCCUGGUAGGCCAUGCCGUAAACGGUGGGCGCUAGGUGUAGGGGUCUUCCACGACUUCUGUGCCGUAGCUAACGCAUUAAGCGCCCCGCCUGGGGAGUACGGCCGCAAGGCUAAAACUCAAAUGAAUUGACGGGG